rnacentral:snRNA from 1 species
GUGCUCGCUCCGGCAGCACAUAUACUAAAAUUGGAACGAUACAGAGAAGAUUAGCAUGGCCCCUGAGCAAGGAUGAAAAUUUUAAAAAAAUAAAAUUAAAUU